UGGGGAAUAUUGGACAAUGGGCGCAAGCCUGAUCCAGCAACGCCGCGUGGAGGACGAAGGUCUUCGGAUUGUAAACUCCUGUCAGGCGGGACGAAGGGCUGGCGGCGAAUAGUUGCCAGUCUUGACGGUACCGCCAGAGGAAGCCCCGGCUAACUCCGUGCCAGCAGCCGCGGUAAUACGGAGGGGGCGAGCGUUAUUCGGAAUUAUUGGGCGUAAAGGGCGCGUAGGCGGCCGGAUAAGUCAAAGGUGAAAUCCCUCGGCUCAACUGAGGAACUGCCUUUGAAACUGUUUGGCUCGAGUCCGGGAGGGGGUAGCGGAAUUCCCAGUGUAGCGGUGAAAUGCGUAGAUAUUGGGAGGAACACCAGUGGCGAAGGCGGCUACCUGGACCGGAACUGACGCUGAUGCGCGAAAGCGUGGGGAGCAAACAG
rnacentral:rRNA from 1 species